rnacentral:lncRNA from 1 species
GGCAUAACUCAAAAUUUGGAACGGCACAGAUUUGCGGCAACAAAGAGUAAGAAUUCGACAACUUCAGCUAAUGCGUGGAAAAGAAUCAUUGUCACCUACAAUAUGUACAAGUCUCUGUUGCUGAAUCUCACUAUCCAAGGGAAAUUCAAGCGCAAUGGCGCUCUUGUUUAUCUUCAUUGGAUAAACAACUAAAUUAGAAAAGAAUGCUACUUCGGAGCCAAUUGAUGGUGAAAAAAUGUGAAGUCAUCUCGUCGGCCAGUGAGAAAACUGGCUACUCUCGGUCCGAACUCCAUCAACUAGGAGUAUGUCAUUGGUCCCCGGUAAGUCGUCCUGAUUCUUGCAGUUAAAGUGAACAUCAGAUUCAUUCAAUUGACACGAUUGAUGGGGUUGGCCUUCAGCAGCGGAGAAGUUCGAGUUGAAGGUGAUCGCAACGACAUAGUCUGAUUUCCUUUCGAGACAAAUCCCGAUUCAAUUGUCCUCCCAAGCCAUCUGCCGCUUCGACGGAGGUCGCCACUUCGACGAGCCUCCGUCGCCCAUUGGUGUCUUGCUUGGAGGUCUCCAUUUGGAGGAUCCACCAUCGCCCAUCUGGCACUUGGAUGGAGGCCUCCACUUCGAUGAUCCACCAUCACCUCUUAUUGCCAUUCUAUGUGCUUUGUGAAGCUUGAUUAUAACUCUUGAAUUUCCCAACUUCGACAAAGGCUCUAAAAACUUGCGGUAAGCAGUUAACUGAUCACUGCACAAUCUGUUGAUUACUUGGAGCAAGCGGUGUUCAAGUUGUAUAGCUUGAUUGCUUUGUGCUCAAGUAAGCUCAAAC